GGGGCUGCACGGGUUUUGACGGGAAGUUGUGGCAGCAAAAGUUGCGAGUCGAGGGUGCUAACCUCCCCUCGUAAAACACUUGUUGGCAAAACAUAAACGCAAAAACUCAAAAAGAGUUAGUCGGCGGGAGAUCUGUGCAAGAGCUUAUGGCUCUUUGUACUGCUCCAGCUGAACUUGCAUUAGCUGCUUAAUAUUUAAGUAGCUCGUCUCCCAGGCCAUGCUAAAGGGUUUGGGGUCAGACGUUAUUUUUUAGCUGCUCAGCUUGGUCUUUUCUGUUUGGCCAACUGCUAAGACUUACAUCAGAUAGCGUGAGAACUGCCCUGCUUCGGGUUAUGUCUCAGGUGAAAUUUUUAACAGAAGCUACGCUCGUAGUAACUUUUGCACCGUCUUUUCGGACAGGGGUUCGACUCCCCUCAGCUCCACCA
rnacentral:tmRNA from 1 species